rnacentral:tRNA from 1 species
ACUUUUAAAGGAUAAUAGUCAUCCAUUGGACUUAGGAACCAAAACUUUUGGUGCAAUUCCAAGUAAAAGUA